rnacentral:hammerhead_ribozyme from 1 species
AUCCAGCUGACGAGUCCCAGACAGGACGAAACGCACAUCUUUGAU